rnacentral:hammerhead_ribozyme from 1 species
AUCCUGUUGACAAGUUCCAAAUAGGACGAAACACGCGUCAAACUGGAU